CUUACCGUGAGGUAUAAUCUGAAGGAAGCCCGAGGCAAAAAUCACUCAACAGAGCAUUGUUGGAAACCUUUAAAGAAUCGGCAAAGUUUUUGGU
rfam:Saccharicrinis fermentans DSM 9555 = JCM 21142 DNA, contig: JCM21142.contig00021.